AUACGGAGGGUCCGAGCGUUAAUCGGAAUUACUGGGCGUAAAGCGCGCGUAGGCGGCUAUAUAAGUCAGAUGUGAAAUCCCUGGGCUCAACCUAGGAACUGCAUUUGAAACUGUAUGGCUAGAGUAUGGUAGAGGUGAGUGGAAUUUCAGGUGUAGCGGUGAAAUGCGUAGAGAUCUGAAGGAACAUCAGUGGCGAAGGCGACUCACUGGGCCAUUACUGACGCUGAGGUGCGAAAGCGUGGGUAGCAAACAGGAUUAGAAACCCGUGUAGUCC
rnacentral:rRNA from 1 species